rnacentral:SRP_RNA from 1 species
CCCCGCAAGCUAACGUCGAAGCCUCGUCUCGCGAGGGCAGCGGUCCCCGUCCCGGCGUCUGCAGGGACGCCCGGUCGGGGUUAACCGCGGGUAAUCCGUCAGGCACGGAAGUGAGCAGCGGGCCCGCGGACAGCUGUCGCCCGUGAGGUCGCGGGGUGGAGGAGGCAAGCGGGACU